ensembl:lncRNA
CCCUCCGGCCGCCCCACACACCGCCUGGCCGGCUUCCACUCCGCACGGCCACCCCUCAUCCGGGAACUACGGCCCCGCUCCGGCUGCGGCAGCCCCCCAGCGGGUUCAAGGCGAGUUCAGGCGGCCCCAGCACGGCGGGAUGCCGCUCCUGGGGAGCCUCUUCCCAUGAGACGCAAGCAGAGCCGUGCCGAGCCGUGCGAGGCACGCAAAGCCGCGCAGGGCCGCGCAAUGCACGAAGCAGUGCAGGGCCGUACGAUGCACGCAGAGCCGUGCAGCGCCCGCCCCGACCACCGCUGGAGCUCCAGCCCCGCACGGACCGGGCGCAGGGCAGGUGAUGCCCCACCGCUGCGGACGCGGACCGUGGACACUUACCCGCCCGCCGCCGAGCGCCGAAGCCUUCGGGCUGCAAGCCCGCUGCCGCCCCAAAACACAGCGGUGUCGCGGUCCCGCCCCACGCCCCUCCCCGCUCCUCGCGUCAGCCGGGGCCGCCCGCGGGAAUCGAAACCGGGAGACACCGGGCCCAGCCCUUGUGAGCCGCGCGGACGUUGGCGGUGUGCCGAGCGCCGGUCCUGAGGCGGGAACCGGCGGGGAUGUGCGUGAGGGAGCCCAGCGCGGCACGCCUCGUCUGCGCUAAGACCGCUGAUUCUGCGUCGAGGUGCUCGUGGGCUCCUCACGCAGGCAAAGAAAUCAGUAAACAAAUGAUAAAUGCUUCAUAGAGUCAUGUAAGUUGGAAAAGACCUUCCAGACCACCACGUCCACCCACCACAUAAUACUGCCAAGCAUGUGCCUAAACCCCACGUCCACAUGACUCUGAACCACCUCCAGGGAUGGAGACACACCAUCUCCCUGGGCAGCGUGUGUUCCAAGCCCUGACCACCGUUUCUGUGAAGAAAUGAUUCCCAGUAUCCAGUCUAAACAUCCCACGGCAUGACUUGAGGCCAGUGCCUCACAUCCUAUCACUUGUCAUCUGACGAAAGAGACUGGUACCCACCUUGCUGCAGCUUCCUGUGAGGUAAAGCGUGAUGAGCCUCCCCUGAGCGUCCUCCAGACUGAACAGCCUCCGUUUCCUCAGCAGCCCCUCACAGGUCUUGUUUUCCACUCCAUCACAUUUGGUGCUCUGAACAUGUUCCAGGAACUCAACCCCUUGUUGCAGUGAGGGGCCCAAAACUGGACACAGCGCUUAAGGUGUGGCCUCACCAAAGUUCAUACAAUAACUCACUCUCCUUGAACAACACUUACAUAGGUCUAUGUCACCAAGGGCCACAAUCUGCUCACAAAUUUCUGACCAAGCAUCCGUCAGCUGCCCAUGUAGUAGCCAGGGAACAGGUGCAAUGCCAACCUUGACAUGGGCAUUGCUCUCCUUUCGCUCCAUGCUGAAUGCACAAAAUAUUGGGGAAAGCCACUGUUUAAAGAAGUGGUCAACACUAAAGCCAAUAAGGCUGUUUCGGAGCAGCAUGGAUACCUGGUGGGAGAACUGCACACUCCCCUGCAUGCACUUCACUUGUUGACUAACGAGUCUAAAUCAAAGUCUGCAGGUGGGAUUUUUCAGUUCUUAUGCAGCAAAAGUGCUCAGUCUUAAACAGGGUCAAUGGGAUAGAAAUGCCUGGAGGAAAGACUGGCUGACUUGGACCGGUGCACCCGGCAUUACACCAAACCCUAAGCUCCCUCUGGUUGCCAGUGAUGGGACGCUUCACUUCAAGAACCCUGCUGGUUCUGCUGCCUUUUGGUUCAGAGAGGACUCUGACCCGAACACUCAUAGGUAACAGCCUCCGCUACAUCUAUCUGCUAGCCACUGAUUUGUUUGUCAGUCUCAUCAUCAAACAGAAAACGAAACUUGGAUUUCUCCAAAUGAAACUUGGAAGCUUGCAAGUCUUCCUCCUGGGGUGUUUCCCUCCUGUGCAUGUGAAGUAACUUCCCCAGGCUGUGUCCCUGCCACGUACAUACUGCCAAUGAGUGUCUGAAUCUGCAAAUUAUGGCAUUUCCUGAUUAUGAGCAGGCACAUAAAGAAUAGAAACUGGAGAUUGUGAGUCUAUUUUGGGAGGCAGCUUUGCAUAUCUGUGUGUCCAGAGGGCAGGGCAGACAUCAGGCAUGUGGGGUAAUAUAGGUGCUUCAGCACAGGAGUACUGGGUGGAGGUGCUCAUAACAUCCAGCAAAGCAGCAUAUAAUGAUGCAUAAAGCAUUUUUACCCAGCUCCUAGAACCCUUCCAUCACAGCUGUGGAGUAGAAUAUUGGUAUGGAAAUGCUUCCAAGGGAAAACAUUUUUUUUUAGAUGGCAAAGUGAGAAACAGAUCAUUCCACACAUGGCUCCAUACACCAGAGUAUCCCAUCUCACACCAUCCUUGACACCAUCCCAGGAAACACAUGCAUUUCCUGGUGCGCCUGCGCUUCUGUCAGUUAAAGUACACUGCUCAUAAUUGAUGCCUCCAGGUAUUGCAGCUAUGAGGGCAAAAGUUUCCAGCGUGAGUGUGGUUCCAUAAAGGCAUCCACACCGCAGCUUCUAUCAGUGAGCCUACUUUAGGAUGCUUGUUUGACUUUAACAGGGUAUCUCCAGCCUGAUGUGGCAAUGCUCCUGAUGAACCCAUUUGCACCCUAAUUUGUUUCUGAGGGAAAACUUGUCCCAGGGAAAUGAGUAUUACUUCAGAGUGAUAGCUUUAAAAGAACUUGUAAUGGAAUCUUAAGCACAUAAUCAGUAGAGGAUAAUGCAAUACAACCAAUGGCAAACACCUACCUAUUUCAUCAUUUUGCUUCUACUUGGCCUACUGCUGAAAAAUCCCUUCACAUCUCUCCAGUAUAAUCCUUCUUGCCUAUUAUCCUUUCCUGCUACUCCAUUUCCUAAAAGCCUGGUUGCUUAAUUCUACCUGUGUCAGCAUCAUAGGAACUAGUCAUUUUGCAAACCAUCUGAAAGCCUGCUAGCGCACCAAGGCCUCCUGGCCUAUGUUACUCUACAAGCGGUUGACUGUGAUGCACACAAAAUCCUUGGUGCUCUUUUUUUAUUCCCCCCUGUGUUUGCCACCUCCACGGCCCACAACCAUUUUCUGGUGUUAUUCUUUAUACAUGUAAAACAGUUGUUGCACAAUACAUCCUGAGCUGGGACUGGAGCCCUGUGACAGCCAGCACUGUGUAUCCAGAUAGGAAAGCAAUAUAAUCUCUAACACCUGUGCAUGGAAAGACUGGUCCGGGGAUGUAUCUCAGCUGGACUUUAGCCUGGCUAUUGAUGCCAGCAUUAAAACUACAGUAGAAGGAAAUGAAACUCAUUUAGUAUCACAAAUAGUUAUCUCCCUUCUCUGGUAUGAGAUUUAAGAGGAACUGACAGAAACAAGUGAUGAGAGGGCAGGAUGAGUAAUAGAUGUGACCAGGAUAAAGAAGUGUGCUCCUUCUGUACCUGCCCUCUCCAUCCAUUUGUUGAGGAGGCAAAGUAGCUGAGCAAGGGGGAACUGGAGCAGAGAAUGAAAGAUAGAAAAGUAGAGAAAUGAGAACCAUGGGGAAAGGCAGUCUCUGAGCUCACUGGCACAGGCUGGCACCAGUGAGUUGCCCAGCAUCAGCAGCUGAAGGAAUGCGGAGAAAGGGCAGUCACCUGCAAGAGGCAACAGAGCAAACAAAACCAUGGAGCCUGUCCUCACAGAUGAAUCAUACUAUGAGAAAUAAAACAAACUUUUAUUCU